GACGAACGCUGGCGGCGUGCUUAACACAUGCAAGUCGAACGGAAAGGCCCUGCUUUUGUGGGGUGCUCGAGUGGCGAACGGGUGAGUAACACGUGAGUAACCUGCCCUUGACUUUGGGAUAACUUCAGGAAACUGGGGCUAAUACCGGAUAGGAGCUCCUGCUGCAUGGUGGGGGUUGGAAAGUUUCGGCGGUUGGGGAUGGGCUCGCGGCUUAUCAGCUUGUUGGUGGGGUAGUGGCUUACCAAGGCUUUGACGGGUGGCCGGCCUGAGAGGGUGACCGGCCACAUUGGGACUGAGAUACGGCCCAGACUCCUACGGGAGGCAGCAGUGGGGAAUAUUGCACAAUGGGCGGAAGCCUGAUGCAGCAACGCCGCGUGCGGGAUGACGGGCUUCGGGUUGUAAACCGCUUUCGCCUGUGACGAAGCGUGAGUGACGGUAAUGGGUAAAGAAGCACCGGCUAACUACGUG
rnacentral:rRNA from 1 species